rnacentral:rRNA from 1 species
GCGUUAACGAACGAGACCUUAACCUGCUAAAUAGUUAGGCCAACGUUUGUUGGUCGUCAACUUCUUAGAGGGACUAUUGACUAUUAGUCAAUGGAAGUUUGAGGCAAUAACAGGUCUGUGAUGCCCUUAGAUGUUCUGGGCCGCACGCGCGCUACACUGAUACGUUCAUCGAGCUUACAACCUUGGUUGAGAGGCCUGGGUAAUCUUUUGAAACCGUAUCGUGCUGGGGAUAGAUUAUUGUAAUUUUUAAUCUUCAACGAGGAAUUCCUAGUAAACGCUGGUCAUCAGCCAGCAUUGAUUACGUCCCUGCCCUUUGUACACACCGCCCGUCGCUAAUACCGAUUGAAUGGAUC